rnacentral:tRNA from 1 species
GUCCAGGGUAGCCUAGUGGACAUGGCAUCUGCCCGGUAAGCGGAACAUUGUGGGUUCGAUUCCCAUCCUUGGGCA